ensembl:lincRNA Gm13403 predicted gene 13403
UUUCUGUGUCUCUCAUUACCGUUCUUGCUCACUCUUGCUCUCGCUCUGUGUGUGUAUGUGUGUGUGUGUCUUUCUCUCUAUGUCUUCCUCUCUUUCUCUCUUCGUCUCUUUGUGUCUCUCUCUCCCUCCCUCCCAUAUAUCCAUCCAUUUCAUUUUCUCUUUGUCUUUCCCAACAUCCCUUUUUUUGUCCAGUCUGAAUCUGGUCCUAAGGGUCAUCUUCUCUCUCCAGCACUGACAUCCUCCCAGGGUGUCUGCCUCCUUCCAUAGCCUGUCUUAGGAUGUGUGACUGGCUGAUGGUGCCUUCCUGCAGUGAAGGCCCAGGUGUGGUGUGGCCCCGUGGCCGGCCGGAUCGCCUGCUGUCUAACGCUCUGCCCAAUCCCUGUUAAUAGAGCUUGUCAACACAGGUGAAGAUUUCUAGAAACCCCUUCUGUAAAUUUACCUGUGGAUGCCGAGGGACAGAAGAUGGGUCAACUGGACAGUAAUGCACACCAUAGUCUCCAAUCACCUCAGCUUUCACUACAUUUUGAAAGUGUCCACUAGCAAUAGAAGACGAUACGGAGAUGCACAAAACAUUCUCAACUUCACCUAAAUUUUCAUUGAAUUGUGAAAAAUGAAUUCACGUUUUUAACAAUGUAUUGUGAAGAAAUUGAAACUCUACACUAUAUAUUUGGAUGAGUCCUUG